CCGAAUGGGUGACAGUAACAGAUCCAGGACACACGGAAGGUGCUCGCAGUUGGAAUUAACUCAGCAACAGAAACUUUGGAAGGCCCCAUCAUUUGUUUCAAGUCACCAGCAUUGGCAGAAUGGGAAGGGCUUCGAGGCAUGCCUACUUCCACAAAAGCAUCAUUACAACCUGUAAUGGAGAAAAGAGAAAGAAGCUGAAAAUCAUGUGCAAUGGAAGCAAACCCAAAUCCAACGCUACAGAGGCAGUGUUAGCUUGAUGGGCUCAACAAGGCAUAACAAGAACAUGUGUAACCGUGGAGGGCACGUUAACACACUAGGCCUGCCGCAAAAGCACAGAUAAAAUGUAAAGAGAAGACCUUCAUAGGUUUUAAAGAUUGCAGUAAAGAGGUUAUUUUAAAAACUAUACAUAUACAUGA